GGAGCCGGGCAGCGCACCUCCCCGGCCGCUGGGGCGCGGUACGCCCGGCGACUAGCCCACACCUCGAGCAUACACAACCUAUGUACUAGCACUCUUCUAACUUUUGGAGAUGAAACACUACGUAAGUCAGGGCUCCUGGACUAGUGGGGAAGGUGAACCAGUGAAGAAGUCAUCACAGCACACCAUGCUAAGGGCCUAAUUGGACAAAAGGCUUCUGGCAAGUGACUUUUCUUAGGAGAAUGUGGGAUGGCUUCCUGGAGGAGGUGACAACAGAGCUGGAUUCUGAAGGGUGUAUAUGGACACCCAGUGCUUCGUGCCCCAACUUGAAUUGGGCCUUUGGUGAUUUUGCAGAAGGCUGAAAACAUGGAAGUGUGCUGUGUUUGUUCCAGCUGCACUUCAGCACCCUCUGGAUUUACAGCCGUGCCCAGGUCUUGUCAACAGGCAUG